rnacentral:miRNA from 1 species
GUAUAAUAGCAUAACACAUAUGCAAAGGUAUAUUUAUAUGCAUAUAUAUACCUUUGCAUAUGUGUUAUGCUAUUAUAUUA